rnacentral:rRNA from 1 species
UGGGGAAUUUUGGACAAUGGGCGAAAGCCUGAUCCAGCAAUGCCGCGUGUGUGAAGAAGGCCUUCGGGUUGUAAAGCACUUUUGUCCGGAAAGAAAUCCUUGGCUCUAAUACAGUCGGGGGAUGACGGUACCGGAAGAAUAAGCACCGGCUAACUACGUGCCAGCAGCCGCGGUAAUACGUAGGGUGCAAGCGUUAAUCGGAAUUACUGGGCGUAAAGCGUGCGCAGGCGGUUUGCUAAGACCGAUGUGAAAUCCCCGGGCUCAACCUGGGAACUGCAUUGGUGACUGGCAGGCUAGAGUAUGGCAGAGGGGGGUAGAAUUCCACGUNUAGCAGUGAAAUGCGUAGAGAUGUGGAGGAAUACCGAUGGCGAAGGCAGCCCCCUGGGCAAUACUGACGCUCAUGCACGAAAGCGUGGGGAGCAAACAGGAUUAGAUACCCUGGUAGUCCACGCCCUAAACGAUGUC